AGCUGUUACAGGUGUGCAUGGGCUGUCGUCAGCUCGUGUCGUGAGAUGUUCGGUUAAGUCCGCUAACGAGCGCAACCCGCGUUGUGUGUUAUAUGUGUCACACAAUACCGCCGGUAUUAAGCCGGAGGAAGGUGACGGAUGACGUCAAGUCAGCAUGACCUUUAUAUCCAGGGCUACACACACGCUACAAUGGACAGUACAACAGGUUGCCAAGCCGCGAGGCGGAGCCAAUCCUCUAAAGCUGCCCUCAGUUCAGAUUGCAGGCUGCAACUCGCCUGCAUGAAGUUGGAGUUGCUAGUAACCGCAGGUCAGCUAUACUGCGGUGAAUACGUUCCCGGCCUU
rnacentral:rRNA from 1 species